rnacentral:ncRNA from 2 species
CUAGAUCAAAAAAUAUAUAAAUUAUUUUGUUAAUUGAGAAGGAAUUCGGUUAGAGUCCGAAGCUGACGCGCAACUGUGUUUUCAAUUGAAUAAGCCAGAUACUUCUCCUAUUUCUCUGCCUCGC